AGUGUAACGGAGGAGUACGAAGGUACGCUAGGUACGGUCGGAAAUCGUGCUGAUAGUGCAAUGGCAUAAGCGUGCUUAACUGCGAGACCGACAAGUCGAGCAGGUGCGAAAGCAGGUCAUAGUGAUCCGGUGGUUCUGUAUGGAAGGGCCAUCGCUCAACGGAUAAAAGGUACUCUGGGGAUAACAGGCUGAUACCGCCCAAGAGUUCAUAUCGACGGCGGUGUUUGGCACCUCGAUGUCGGCUCAUCUCAUCCUGGGGCUGUAGCCGGUCCCAAGGGUAUGGCUGUUCGCCAUUUAAAGAGGUACGUGAGCUGGGUUUAAAACGUCGUGAGACAGUUUGGUCCCUAUCUGCCGUGGGCGCUGGAUAUUUGAAGGGGGCUGCUCCUAGUACGAGAGGACCGGAGUGGACGAACCUCUGGUGUACCGGUUGUCACGCCAGUGGCAUCGCCGGGUAGCUAUGUUCGGAAGAGAUAACCGCUGAAAGCAUCUAAGCGGGAAACUCGCCUUAAGAUGAGAUAUCCCCGGGGCUUUAAGCCCCUUGAAGGGUCGUUCAAGACCAGGACGUUGAUAGGUCAGGUGUGUAAGCGCAGUAAUGCGUUGAGCUAACUGAUACUAAUUGCCCGUAAGGCUUGAUCCUAUAACCAGUGUGUUUC
rnacentral:rRNA from 1 species